AUGUGUUUGUUUCAAUCCCGUGUAUGUACAAUGUGUAUUUUAUGGUUAGGGAUUUGGAUGAACGGAGAUUGUGUGAUAUUGCACGUGACAAGUGUUCCGGAUUCUCAGAAUUCGAUGGUGAACCCACAUCCUACUGCCAUCUCAACACAGCUGUGCCAAUUCUGCAGCUGCGCUGUGCUUCACAAUCUCACUAUUCUCAAUGGGGACAUUGUUGAGCAAGAGGAUGAGGAAGACCAUGACGACCCCUCUCUGAACCACACAACCUUGAAGCAAGUGCAGGGAACACGUGCGGGACAAUCUGGCUGCUGCUGUGUCUGCUCCAAACAUUUUGUGUGCCUGCUCUCCAUGAGCAUGACUACACUCUAAAAAAUGCUGGGUUAAAUAUAACCCAACGCUGGGUUAAAAAGGGACCAACCCAACAGUUGGGUUUUUUUGACCCAGCAGUUGGCAGAGGUAUAAAGUCCAGGGGUCAGAAAGUAAAAGUCCUGCCAUAUGUUUAUUCCACCCAUGAACUCAGCAAGCUGUUUUAACCAGAGGAGAACCAAGUCAUUCCUUUCACAUCACAAACGAGUCUCGAGUCAGAUCCCAAGUCCUCAAAGAGUUAAAAAAAAAAAGCUAUUAAACAAAUGCCACCUUAAUGUGUCAAUAUUGAAUUAAAAAAAAGCUAUAUCAGCUCAGGAAUUUAGCCAUGAACAUUUAUCAUACUAUCCUCAACAGUGGUGACAAUAAUUUUUCAUACUGCAGUGCAUGAUGAGAGUUUUUACUAUGGUGUUACCCAGCAUUCAUUGCAUCAUGAAGCAUUUUGUUGAUUGUCACCAUUGUUGAGAUUGGUAUACUGGUUCUUGAUGUCUCUCUGUGUCUAAAUAGUAUAGUAGAUUUUUUUUUGGUGUAUUAUAUGUAUAUAUACACACAUAUAUACACACAUAUACUUUUUUUUUAUAAUUCACUAUAUAUUUUAGAACAACAGUGUUCUGUAGUUUCGCAUAGUUCUUAAUGCAAAACCUGAACAUGUAAAUGGAAGCAAGUUAUUUUAAAUGAAAUCAGGCCAUUUCAUGAUGGUUGUUUCAUCACAUAUAAACAGCAAAUAUCUCAUCAUUGUAAAAUACCACAUGCAUUUCUACAGAGAGAGAGAUCUAUCGCAACAAGUCAAGGGUCAAGAGCACAACUAAAUCAAACACUGAUCUCCAUGAUGGUGGCAUCAUUUAACCAAUAAAACAUCAACAUCUGAUCCUCUGUAAUUUCCAAUAACAGCAUGUGUUCAUUAGUAGUUUUAGUUUUUUUGGUUAGUUAUUAUAUGUAUAUAUACACACAUAUAUACACACAUA
rnacentral:lncRNA from 1 species